rnacentral:tRNA from 1 species
GUGAGCUUGGUGUUAGUGGUAGCAUAACAGUCUCCAAAACUGAAGGCGUUGGUUCGAUUCCAGCAACUCAUG